CAGCCAUGAGGUGAGCACAGAGCGAACUAUUCUUUCGCCUUUUACUAAAGAAUACCGUGUGCUCUCCUCGCUUAAGUGGCAUACGCCUAUUUUUGGAGGGUCCUACUUUCGAGUGGGCCC
rfam:Brassica rapa chromosome A7, whole genome shotgun sequence.